rnacentral:SRP_RNA from 1 species
GCUGGGCAUGGUGGUGCAUGCCUGUAAUCCUAGCUACUUGGGAAGCUGAGGCAGGAGAAUUGCUUGAACCCAGGAGACAAAGAUUGCAGUGAGCCGAGAUCGUGCCACUGCUCCAGCCUGGGUGACAGAGCGAGACUCAGUCUCUC